UUCCGUUGGAAAAAAUUAGUUACAUGGAUAAAAAAUGUUCCUCUUAAUUGUUUUUCUUUUGUGAUUAAAUUUAAUUCUAUUCUUUAAUCACUUGCAAUUAAUCGAUAAUCUUAAUUGUUGAAGUGUCUAUUUCUAUUGGAAUUCAAUUUAUUUCUUGUAAUUGUAGUUGUUUGUUUUGUCAUUUCUCUUGUACCUUUUGUGUGUUUUUUUUUCAAUAUUUUCAUUGUGUUUUCAAUUUGAUUGUCAUCAUCAUUGCUAAUGAUUAGUUAAUUUACUUUAUUCAGGCUCAUUUUCACCUAAAUUGUGGAUUAAUCAUUAAGGUAAAAAGUUCUUAAUUAUUAUGGUCAUCUCUCCCCUCAGGUGAAAGUUAAUUACCAAUCUACAGUUGACUUUGCCUACUAAUCACCACGGAAGUAUAAAUAUUGCCUAUUGGAGAUUAAGCUGAUAACCCAUUCACCUUUUUUUUUCAUUUCUUUUCAUUUCUUUUGAUCAACGGUACCAAUUAAUUGUCGAUAACAGUCAACUAUUGAUAUUUCGAAAUGUCAACAACAAUUUACUGUUUGGGUUUAAUCAACUGGCUAAAAUCACUAACAACCACAAUUACCAAUUACAGUAUAUAAAAGGGAAAACUAAUCAGCUGAGAUGGAGGAUAGUUAACUUUAAUCACUUAAUUUCUGGAUUUAAUUAUUCCUUCAAAUCAAUCAAACAAUGAAGAGAAAAUGAACAUUUUUCCACCAUACACCUUAAUCUAAUCAAGUGAACAUUGUAUACAAUUAAUUUUGCAACUUAUAAUCAAGAUGAAUGAAACUUAAAUUGUAUUUUAUUCACCACCACCACCAUCAUCAGUAUCAUCAUCAUCAUCAUGAUUCGUUGUCAUCGUUAUCAUAAUCACACCAGCAUCAGUAACAAUCAACACAUAUCGAAAGCAAGCAAAUGAAAAUGUUUGGUGAUCAAUCAAUUGGAUCAAAAGCUGAAAGAGAGGAAAAAGAAAACUUAACCAAGCAAGAAGAUGAAUGCUAAGCACCAAUGAAGAAGAAAAAUGAUCGAAAAUUUAUCUUCUUCGUCGUUAUAACUCUUUCUUUUCAUUCUUAUCGUCUCUCCCUCUCUUUAUCAUCCAAGAAGGAGAAGAGGAUUGUCACCAGAAAGAGAUGAGAAUAGUUAAUCCGUUAUAAUACAUUAAUUAGGAUCGUUAUCAGUGUAAGACGUGACGACUCUCAUCUUAAUUAUCUGCACGUUCAUCAACACAUGAUAAGUUUCCUCCGUGUACAUUGGCCUUUUUUUCAUGUGUCUAAUUCACUCAACAAUUAACUGAGAAUCCAAAUUUCUCAAUCGUUGCAGUUUAAUAAUCAUCUUCAAUUUGCUUCCCUUUUGUUUUACUGUUUACAUAAAUUAUCCUCAUCAGUUAUUAUUA